rnacentral:tRNA from 15 species
AGUAGGGUCAGCUAAACAUAAAGCUAUCGGGCCCAUACCCCGAAAAUGAUGGUUUAACCCCUUCCUCUACUA